GGCUGACUAGCUCAGUUGGUUAGAGCGUCGCACCAAUAUUUAUUUGUGAUCUGUGUACAUGUUGACGCGAAGGUCUUGGGUUCGAUUCCCACGUCAGCCA